rnacentral:misc_RNA from 1 species
UAGGUUGUCAAGGGAGCGGUUGGCCACACCCUUUGUAGAAAGGGGGUGGUAUGAUGACAAUAUUCGAGGCGAUGUAUCUGAUGAUAUUUGCAACGCUUGUUGUGAUCAUUAUAAAGCAGAAAUAACCGCCCCUGCCUAAGGAUUGCGGUUAUUUCGAUAACCAAAACUCUGAGCUAACCGUUUCCGGUUAGACAACCUAUGGGGCUGGCGUGCUUGCGACACGUCAG